CGUGUCGUGAGAUGUUGGGUUAAGUCCGUAACGAGCGCAACCUGUCCUUAGUUACCAGCACGUUAUGGUGGGCACUCUAAGGAGACUGCCGGUGACAAACCGGAGGAAGGUGGGGAUGACGUCAAGUCAUCAUGGCCCUUACGGCCUGGGCUACACACGUGCUACAAUGGUCGGUACAAAGGGUUGCCAAGCCGCGAGGUGGAGCUAAUCCCAUAAAACCGAUCGUAGUCCGGAUCGCAGUCUGCAACUCGACUGCGUGAAGUCGGAAUCGCUAGUAAUCGUGAAUCAGAAUGUCACGGUGAAUACGUUCCCGGGCCUU
rnacentral:rRNA from 1 species